AGCGGCGGACGGGUGAGUAACGCGUGGGCAACCUGCCUCAUACAGGGGGAUAACAGUUAGAAAUGACUGCUAAUACCGCAUAAGCGCACAGGACCGCAUGGUGUAGUGUGAAAAACUCCGGUGGUAUGAGAUGGACCCGCGUCUGAUUAGGUAGUUGGUGGGGUAAAGGCCUACCAAGCCGACGAUCAGUAGCCGACCUGAGAGGGUGACCGGCCACAUUGGGACUGAGACACGGCCCAAACUCCUACGGGAGGCAGCAUG
rnacentral:rRNA from 1 species